rnacentral:rRNA from 1 species
AUGGCGGCUUCCCAACCUCUGCCGACCUCCUCGGCCACUCCCGCCGCGCUUCUGGCGCACCUCUCCGCCGCCCUCUCCGCUCCAAACUGGUACCUACACCCCUCCCUGCCGCAUCUCCCUGCUCUCCUUGCUCCGUCCCUCCCCCAGAUGCCCGACGUCCCACUCCCGGUUCGUCUCGCCACCGCGACCGCCCGCGCCGCGGCGCCCUCCCGCCACCUUCUCAGCCUUUCCCUUCCAAUCCUCUUCCGCGUCCAUUCCCUCUCCCCGCCCCCGCUCCGCCCCCUCUUCGACCGCUCCUUCGGCUCUCUCCUCACCCACCUCUCCCGCUUCGCACUCACCCCGCUCAUCCUCCGCCUCUUCGCUCUCAUGCAUCUCCACUCGCCGCCUGCCCCCACGGGCGUCACCUACAAUAUCCUCAUCCGCUCCCUCUGCCGCAGAGCCGACCUGCCCCGCGCCCUCCGAUACCUCAGCCUCAUGGUCCUCUCUGGCUGGCACCCCGACGCCUACACAUUCAACUCCUUGAUCGUGGGCUACUCCCGCACCCACCAGAUCGACGCUGCUCGUGAUCUGUUCGAUAAAAUGCCUUUGAGAGGAUUCCCGCGUGACGUGGUAUCCUAUGCUGCAAUGAUUGAGGGGUUAUGUGAGACGGGGAGGAUUGACGAGGCAUUGGACUUGUUCAUGAAGAUGGAGCUGUCGGACAUGCAUACAUAUGCGGUCUUGGUGAAGGGGCUGUGUAAAGCAGGGCGGGGGGAGGAGGCGCUCCAGAUGCUGCAGAGGAUGAAGAAAUUGGGGUGGCGGCCAAGUACUUGCACUUAUGCAGCCGCGAUUGAUUUAUGCUGUAGGGAGCAAAGGGUUGUGGAGGCUGAGGAAAUGCUGGAGGAGAUGUCUGACAAAGGGUUGGUGCCAUCUGUUGUUACAUGCACCGCGGUGGUCAAUGGCUAUUGUAAGGAGGGGAGGAUGAGUGAUUGUAAGGUGGGGAGGAUGAGUGAUGCGGUGAGGGUGUUUGAGACGAUGAAGUUGAGGUGGUGCAAGCCGAACGUGUGGACAUACAAUGCACUGGUGUGGGGGUUCUGCAAGGGGGGUAAGGUGCACAAUGCAAUGGCUUUGUUGAAUCGGAUGAGAGCACAUGGAGUAGAACCAGAUGUUGUGACAUACAAUUUGUUAAUUCGGGCCGAAUGUGUUUAUGGGCAUAUAGAGAAUGCUUUCCGGCUACUUCGUUUGAUGGAAGGAGAUGGUUUAGCUGCUGAUAUAUACACUUACAAUGCGUUGGUGGAUGCUCUCUGCAAGAAUGGGAGGAUCGAUCAAGCUUGCUCCCUUUUUGAUAGCCUUGAAGGGAGAGGCAUAAAACCUAAUUUGGUGACAUUCAAUUCGUUGAUAGACGGGUUAUGCAAAUGUGAUCAAGUUGAUGUUGCAUGGUCAUUACUGGAAAAGAUGGUCUCAGCUGGUUGCACGCCGGAUACCUAUACAUACAGUCCGUUCAUAGAAUACCUAUGCAAGAUGAAGGGAUCACAAGAGGGUUUGUCCUUUAUAGAUGAGAUGCUAAAAAAGAGUGUUAAGCUCACGACGGUCAACUAUACCAUUGUAAUUGACAAGCUAUUCAAGGAGAGGAACUAUGGAUUGGCCACAAAAAUCUGGGGUCAAAUGGUUUCACUGGGUUGCAAUCCUGAUGCAGUUACUUAUACCACAUCUAUGCGUGCUUAUUGCAAUGAAGGAAGACUCAUUGAAGCCGAAAAUGUUGUCAGUGAGAUGAACAGAAGUGCGGUCACUGUAGAUACAAUUGCGUAUAACACGUUGAUGGAUGGGCAUGCAAGUAUUGGACAGACAGAUUGCGCAGUCUCAAUCUUGAAGCAUAUGAAAAAUGUUGCUUCUAUGCCAAACCAGUUUAUUUAUUUGAUCUUGCUUAGACAUCUUGUACAAAGGAGGCUAGCAGAAGGUGUGCCUUUGAAUGUAGCUGGUUUAUGGAAGACCACCAGGCUUACUGAUAUCUUUGAAUUGUUUGAGAUAAUGAAGAAGAAUGAUAUUAUUCCUAACACGGAUACUUAUUCUGCAAUUCUGGAGAGGUUUUCUGAAGAUGGAAUAUCGAAAGAGGUGACAUCAUUGGUUUCUCGUAUCAAAGAUGAUAAUCUUUCUUUGAAUGAGGACAUCUACACUGCUCUCAUUACAUGUUUAUGCAAAUCAAGACAGUAUUCCGAUGCAUGGGCGUUGCUUCACUCCAUGAUUGGUCGUGGUUUUGUACCACAACUGAUGUCCUAUCAGCACCUACUUUGCGGGCUUAUUAGUGAAGGACAAGCUCAUAUGGCUGAAGAAAUUUUUGGAAACGGUAGAUGGGAAGACUACAAUCCUGAUGAAAUUGUGUGGAAAGUAAUUAUUGAUGGCCUGAUAAGAAACGGUCAUUCAGAUAUAUGCCGUGACAUGGUAUCCAAAUUAGAGCAGAGGAACUGCAGACCAAGCAAUCAAACAUAUGUAAUGUUGGCAGAAGAAUUGUCUACCAGGGGAUAA